rnacentral:lncRNA from 1 species
GUAACAACCAUUUCCAUUCCUGCAGUUGUUGAGCUGUUUGCUGCAGUGUCCUAUCAGAUUUUGAGCAGCUAAGUGAAUCUGUAUGAGCUAGCAGGUGGUUGUUCCAGUUUUAGGAGGUUUCAGGGACAGGCUGUGGAGGAACACCGCUGCCUUCCAGCGCUUGGAGGCCAGGAGAGCAGUGCUGUGGAGAAGAGAGGAUAGAGGAUCUAGGACCAAGACCAUGGCUAGACACGUUAUCGUCUUCAAGGGCUUCAUCUUGCUGCAGUUCCUGUGCCUGGCCCUGGCUCAAGUGAGUGGCCCUCCUGGAGCACAGGGACUUCCAGGACCUCCCGGGGCACCUGGAACCCCGGGAGCCGAUGGUAUCGAUGGUGACAAGGGACCACCUGGCCCCCCUGGAGCAGCUGGCCAGAAGGGAGAAGCAGGUGAACCAGGCCCAGGUGGUCCUCCAGGAGAGAAUGGCAUUGAUGUG